GGGGCUGGAAAGAUGGUUCAGUGG
rnacentral:piRNA from 1 species